GGGGAUAUAGCUCAGUUGGUAGAGCUCCGCGGCGGAUGUCAGCGGUUCGAGUCCGCUUAUCUCCA
rnacentral:tRNA from 1 species